UACGUAGGGGGCAAGCGUUAUCUGGAUUUACUGGGUGUAAAGGGAGCGUAGACGGCAUGGCAAGUCAGAUGUGAAGGCCCGGGGCUCAACCCCGGGACUGCAUUUGAAACUGUCAGGCUGGAGCGCAGGAGAGGUAAGUGGAAUUCCUAGUGUAGCGGUGAAAUGCGUAGAUAUUAAGAGGAACACCAGUGGCGAAGGCGGCUUACUGGACUGUAACUGACGUUGAGGCUCGAAAGCGUGGGGAGCAAACAGG
rnacentral:rRNA from 1 species